UUUGCGGUUUUAAAGAAAAAUUAUUUAUUUAUUUCAAUUAUCUUUAAAAAAUAGACAUUAAACAUGUUGAGAGGAAAUUGUGUCAAAACAUUAUCCAAAGCACUCUCUACACGAGCACCGAGACUAAACCCAAUCACUUAUCUGACAGAAGAGGAAACAUUGAUACAAAAAAACGUGGCCACCUUCUCCCGAGAAAUCCUUAAGCCCCGAGUACUGGAAAUGGACAAGCAAGGAUUCAUAGACAGUCAAGUCCUCGAAGAAGGAUUCAAAAACGGGAUUUUUAGCAUAGAAAUAAGCGAGGACAUGGGUGGCUGUGGAGCCAGUUUUUUUGCCAGUAUUUUGGCCAUUGAACAAAUCUCGAUGGUCGAUUGCUCGUUUUCGGUAGUCUGUGAUGUCCAAAACACAUUAAUCAUAACAUUGCUCAAGAAAUAUGCCUCCUCCAAACUAAAGGACAAGUAUUUCCCACGUCUA